rfam:Gelidibacter algens strain ACAM 536 contig00031, whole genome shotgun sequence.
GGUCUGGUAGUUCAGUUGGUUAGAAUGCCGCCCUGUCACGGCGGAGGUCGCGGGUUCGAGUCCCGUCCAGACCG